rnacentral:rRNA from 1 species
UGGGGAAUUUUGGACAAUGGGCGAAAGCCUGAUCCAGCAAUGCCGCGUGAGUGAAGAAGGCCUUCGGGUUGUAAAGCUCUUUUGUCAGGGAAGAAACGGUGAAAGCUAAUAUCUUUUGCUAAUGACGGUACCUGAAGAAUAAGCACCGGCUAACUACGUGCCAGCAGCCGCGGUAAUACGUAGGGUGCAAGCGUUAAUCGGAAUUACUGGGCGUAAAGCGUGCGCAGGCGGUUUUUGUAAGUCUGAUGUGAAAUCCCCGGGCUCAACCUGGGAAUUGCAUUGGAGACUGCAAGGCUAGAAUCUGGCAGAGGGGGGUAGAAUUCCACGUGUAGCAGUGAAAUGCGUAGAUAUGUGGAGGAGCACCGAUGGCGAAAGGCAGCCCCCCUGGGGUCAAGAUUGACGCUCAUGCACGAAAGCGUGGGGAGCAAACAGGAUUAGAUACCCUGGUAGUCCACGCCCUAAACGAUGUCUACUAGUUGUCGGGUCUUAAUUGACUUGGUAACGCAGCUAACGCGUGAAGUAGACCGCCUGGGGAGUAC